rnacentral:rRNA from 1 species
GUGCCAGCAGCCGCGGUAAUACAGAGGGUGCAAGCGUUGCUCGGAAUUAUUGGGCGUAAAGGGUAGGUAGGUGGUCUCAUUUGUCUCGUGUGAAAUCCUUGGGCUUAACUCAAGAAGUGCGCGAGAAACGGUGAGACUGGAGUCCUGGAGAGGGUCGUGGAAUUCCCGGUGUAGCGUUGAAAUGCGUAGAGAUCGGGAGGAACACCAGAGGCGAAGGCGGCGACCUGGACAGGUACUGACACUCAACUACGAAAGCGUGGGGAGCAAACAGGAUUAGAAACCCCGGUAGUCC